GUGAAGAAGAUUCUAUGGUUGUUAUAGAAAUUGAAGUUAUUUUAGAGCGUUUUAUAUAUUUAUUGAAUUUAGCCAAUGAGAAAUGGAUAAUUGUAUGAUCUUAACAAGUAUAUUUCAUGUAAAUAGUCUUUUCUUGUGUUUGAACUCUUCUAUACAAGUUUAUUUUGAUUAGACUAGUCUAAAAUAAGCAAAAUAAUACUACAUUUUGGUGCUAGUGCUGGGGAUCGAUAAUUAUAUUGAGUGUUAGGAAUUAGCUAAAGGCUACUUAUGAUU
rnacentral:lncRNA from 1 species